AUUGAACGCUGGCGGCAUGCCUUACGCAUGCAAGUCGAACGGUAACAAGUCUUCGGAUGCUGACGAGUGGCGAACGGGUGAGUAAUACAUCGGAACGUGCCUAGUAGUGGGGGAUGACUACUCGAAAGAGUGGCUAAUACCGCAUGAGAUCUACGGAUGAAAGCAGGGGAUCGCAAGACCUUGUGCUACUAGAGCGGCCGAUGUCAGAUUAGGUAGUUGGUGGGAUAAAAGCUUACCAAGCCGACGAUCUGUAGCUGGUCUGAGAGGACGAUCAGCCACACUGGGACUGAGACACGGCCCAGACUCCUACGGGAGGCAGCAGUGGGGAAUUUUGGACAAUGGGCGAAAGCCUGAUCCAGCAAUGCCGCGUGCAGGAUGAAGGCCUUCGGGUUGUAAACUGCUUUUGUACGGAACGAAAAGCCCCGGGUUAAUACCCUGGGGUCAUGACGGUACCGUAAGAAUAAGCACCGGCUAACUACGUGCCAGCCGCCGCGGUAA
rnacentral:rRNA from 1 species